rnacentral:misc_RNA from 1 species
AUUUUAUCUUACAACAAAUUAGGAAAAAUGUUAACAAAGGCAAGUUUCAUCUGUCGUUUCGCAAUUCAUUCUAUCCCUUCUACACAUACUAUACAUGACAGCAUAACAUAAUAGCCAAGGUAAUCUCAGUCCUUCAGACCAGAAAGGACUACGGUUAAACUAUUUUGGGACUCAAAAUGUGUAAAAGCGUCCACCUAGUUGGAGGGGUAACAAUAUAAGUAAACAUGGUGCAGUCGAUGAAGAAAAUAAUUACAGCCUAGAUGGGAAGUCUGAACCCUUUCUGGAAUGAAACUGAUCAUGUACCUCUAGAAAUGGCCAAGUCCCAUUCUCUGCAGCACACUUGUUAACAAAAGGUUUGCAUGUUUUAUCUUUCCUUUUCUCUUGCUGAUAAAUUGGAUUUCGGUGAAGCAGCAAGGAUUCUGCUUUCCUCAUCUAGCUUUCCUUGAUAGGUCAUUCCAAUCCAAUGCCGUAGCAACACAGGAAAUAAGUUUCCUUUCAACCCUUGGCACGAUAACUCAAUCAGCUUUGCCCAAUUUAACAUUAGUCCUUUGUUUCCUAAUAUGUAUGGUGAUAAGUUUUGGAAUCAAAA